AGAUUCCCCCUUCUAUGUCUCCAAGACAGAAGAACAGCAAAAUAUGCCUGGUCUAACCUCGAAGGAUGCGAGAGCUAAGAGGAGCAGGCCCUGACCUGGAUCCGACCCUACGGGUCCCUUCCGAGAACCCUCACCAGGUGUACCGUAACCCUGAGGAUCCAACCUUGCGCACCCUGGACUUCAGAGAGCCUCCACGGGUGAAUCCUGACCUGGCAGGUGCGAAUCCUGAUGGGUCUGAGUUCUCCAAGGGAACAAUAAGUGACUCAGCGCGCCCCUUUCUCUUUCAAUGUCCACUGUCCUGGGGUCUCAUCAUUGCGUUCAGGUUCCUGGACCUGUUGGUGAUCCCUCAGCGACUGCCAUCUGAAAUCCAGUUUGGGGGCUGGGGAAAGGCUCAGUGACUAAGAGUGCUUUCUAUGUACGUAUGGAGACCUAAGUUUGGAUCCCUGCACGCACACCAAAAAGCAGGCAAAUGUGCUUGCUGCCAAGCUGGAGAAACUGAGUUUGAUCCUUGGAACCCUCACGGUGGAAGAAGAGAGUUGACUAUUGGAGUUGGCCACUAUAGAAGGCACAGACCACACCCCAACACAUACAUAACACACAUACAAUAAAGAAAUAGAAGUCAAGUUCUUAAAUUAAAUAGGAAUUUAAUUAGCAUAAGCAUGGACAGAGUCUAUGGGAGCACAGACUCCUCAGCCUAACCCUAACCCUAACCCUAACCCUAACCCUAACCCUAACCCUAACCCUACCCUCGUCUGCCUUUGGCAAGCUUCCUAUUAGGUUGAUGUACCAGAGGUCCCUGGGCUGUUUGUUCCCACAGCAGCCUGGGGCAUUUGCCCUAUAACAAGAACCCUGAAUAAAAUGCUUCUGCCUCUUGACCAUUUA
rnacentral:lncRNA from 1 species